rnacentral:rRNA from 1 species
UCUACCUUUUGGGUUCGGAAUACCUCGGGCAAAGCUGUAGCUAAUACCGGAUAGCCCGUUGCAGGGGCAAAGCAUUUAUCGGCAAAAGAAGCAGCCGGUUCAGCAUCAGGUCAGUUGGUGGGGUCAAUUGGCCUAACCAAGCCUACGGAUCUAUAGGCUUGGUCUGAGACGGCUGCUCAGGCCACACUGGGACUGAGACCACUGGCCCAGACUCCUACGGGACGGCANGACAGUGGGGANACUACUUUGGACCAACUGGGGGAAACCCCUGAAUCCAAGCCAAAUUGCCGNGUUGACGUUGACUUGACACUGUGCCCUUUCCGGGUGUUUGUAAAACUGCUCUUUUUUGUCACUGUGGACCUGACUUGACUNGACCGUGUAACCUUGACCGACAUUAACGGCUUUCCCUGGGCUCAAAAUNUCUGGUUGCACAAAGCCAAGCCCUGAUGGUCAAUCACGCAGUGGGCGCCAGCCCUUCAAGACUGGGUUAUGGGUAUCCUGAGCAACAUUUUCACUUGGGGGNGGGCUAGUUAAGAAGGUGGGCACGGUUUGGUUAACAGGAGACGAGGCAUAACACCCAAUAAACGAGUUCCNAUGAA